UUGGAGGGCAAGUUUGGUGCCAGCAGCCGCGGUAAUUCCAGCUCCAAUAGCGUAUAUUAAAGUUGUUGCAGUUAAAAAGCUCGUAGUUGAACUUCAGACCUGACCGGGUGGUCCGCCUAACGGUGUGUACUGUCUGGCCGGGCCUUACCUCUUGGUGAGCCGGCAUGCCCUUAAUUGGGUGUGUCGGGGAACCAGGACCUUUACCUUGAGAAAAUUAGAGUGUUCAAAGCAGGCUUACGCCGGAAUACAUUAGCAUGGAAUAAUAAAAUAGGACGUGCGGUUCUUAG
rnacentral:rRNA from 1 species